rnacentral:rRNA from 1 species
AGGAUAAACGCUGGCGGCGUGCCUAACACAUGCAAGUCGAACGCCCUACGCAAGUAGGGAGUGGCGGACGGGUGAGGAACACGUGGGGAUCUGCCCAGAGGUGAGGAAUACCGGCGAGAAAUCGCCGACAAUACCGCAUAACCUUCUCACGAAGGAAAGUCGCAAGACGCCUAUGGAUGAACCUGCGUCCGAUUAGUUUGUUGGUGGGGUAAUGGCCUACCAAGACAACGAUCGGUAGCUGGUCUGAGAGGACGAUCAGCCACACUGGGAUUGAGAACGGCCCAGACUCCUACGGGGGGCAGCAGUGAGGAAUUUUCGUCAAUGGGGGCAACCCUGAACGAGCAACGCCGCGUGCAGGAAGAAGGUUUUCGGAUCGUAAACUGCUUUUCUGUGGGAAGAGAACGGACGGUACCACAGGAAGAAGCCCCGGCUAACUACGUGCCAGCAGCCGC